rnacentral:rRNA from 1 species
AACGAACGCUGGCGGCAGGCCUAACACAUGCAAGUCGAACGGGAUCUUCGGAUCUAGUGGCGGACGGGUGAGUAACGCGUGGGAACGUGCCCUUUGGUUUGGAAUAGCCCCGGGAAACUGGGAGUAAUACCGGAUAAGCUCUACGGAGGAAAGAUUUAUCGCCAAAGGAUCGGCCCGCGUUGGAUUAGGUAGUUGGUGAGGUAAUGGCUAACAAAGCCGACGAUCCAUAGCUGGUUUGAGAGGAUGAACAGCCACACUGGGACUGAGACACGGCCCAGACUCCUACGGGAGGCAGCAGUGGGGAAUCUUAGACAAUGGGGGAAACCCUGAUCUAGCCAUGCCGCGUGAUCGAUGAAGGCCUUAGGGUUGUAAAGAUCUUUCAGUGGGGAAGAUAAUGACUGUACCCACAGAAGAAGCCCCGGCUAACUCCGUGCCAGCAGCCGCGGUAA